rnacentral:rRNA from 1 species
AAACUUUCAACAACGGAUCUCUUGGCUCUGGCAUCGAUGAAGAACGCAGCGAAAUGCGAUAAGUAAUGUGAAUUGCAGAAUUCAGUGAAUCAUCGAAUCUUUGAACGCACAUUGCGCCCGCUAGUAUUCUGGCGGGCAUGCCUGUCCGAGCGUCAUUU